GAUGAACGCUGGCGGCGUGCCUAAUACAUGCAAGUCGAACGAAACUUCUUUAUCACCGAGUGCUUGCACUCACCGAUAAAGAGUUGAGUGGCGAACGGGUGAGUAACACGUGGGCAACCUGCCCAAAAGAGGGGGAUAACACUUGGAAACAGGUGCUAAUACCGCAUAACCAUAGUUACCGCAUGGUAACUAUGUAAAAGGUGGCUAUGCUACCGCUUUUGGAUGGGCCCGCGGCGCAUUAGCUAGUUGGUGGGGUAAAGGCUUACCAAGGCAAUGAUGCGUAGCCGAACUGAGAGGUUGAUCGGCCACAUUGGGACUGAGACACGGCCCAAACUCCUACGGGAGGCUG
rnacentral:rRNA from 1 species